rnacentral:rRNA from 1 species
GGAAUAUUGGACAAUGGGGGAAACCCUGAUCCAGCGACGCCGCGUGGGUGAAGAAGGCCUGCGGGUUGUAAAGCCCUUUCGGUAGGGACGAAAGCCUCCGACCUAACACGUCGGGGGGUUGACUUAACCUACAGAAGAAGCACCGGCUAACUCUGUGCCAGCCGCCGCGGUAAUACAGAGGGUGCGAGCGUUAACCGGAAUUACUGGGCGUAAAGCGCACGUAGGCGGCUUGGUAUGUCGGGUGUGAAAUCCCCGGGCUCAACCUGGGAACUGCAUCCGAAACUGCCUUGCUCGAGUAUGGGAGAGGGAAGUGGAAUUUCCGGUGUAGCGGUGAAAUGCGUAGAUAUCGGAAGGAACAUCAGUGGCGAAGGCGACUUCCUGGACCAAUACUGACGCUCAGGUGCGAAAGCGUGGGGAGCAAACAGG